GCGGGUGUAGCUCAGUGGUAGAGCUCCAGCCUUCCAAGCUGGUGACGAGGGUUCGAUUCCCUUCACCCGCUCCA
rnacentral:tRNA from 1 species